UAGGCUGCAACUCGCCUACAUGAAGUCGGAAUUGCUAGUAAUCGCGGAUCAGCAUGCCGCGGUGAAUACGUUCCCGGGCCUUGUACACACCGCCCGUCACACCAUGGAAGUUGGUAACACCCGAAGCCUGUAGCCUAACCGCAAGGAGGGCGCAGUCGAAGGUGGGAUUGAUGACUGGGGUGAAGUCGUAACAAGGUAGC
rnacentral:rRNA from 1 species